AUUGAACGCUAGCGGGAUGCUUUACACAUGCAAGUCGAACGGAGGGGCGGACGGGUGAGUAAUAUAUCGGUACGUGCCCAGUAGCGGGGGAUAACUACUCAACAGAGUGGCUAAUCCCGCAUACUAUUAGAGCGGCCGAUAUCGGAGUAGCGAGUUGGUGGGGUAAAGGCUCACCAGGGCCACGAUCCGUAGCUGGUUUGAGAGGAAGACCAGCCACACUGGGACUGAGACACGGCCCAGACUCCUACGGGAGGCAGCAGUGGGGAAUAUUGUACAAUGGGGGAAACCCUGAUCCAGCCAUCCCGCGUGUAUGAUGAAGGCCUUAGGGUUGUAAAGUACUUUUGGUAGAGAAGCGUUAUCUGCAGAAGAAGCACCGGCUAACUACGUGCCAGCAGCCGCGGUAAUUC
rnacentral:rRNA from 1 species